UGGCUUUAGGUAGUUAGUGAAAGUGCCCUUAUCUUUUCGGUGCUUAGUAACUGUGCCAGGGUAUCUUGGGUUAUAUGUUAUAAAUAGAGAGAAGGCCCGCUAACACUAUUGUUUGCUUUUGCUGCUCAGUAGGAGAGUACUUUGGAGGCAACAAUCUUCUGUAAGAGAACAGUCCCCUGGAAGAAUCCUCUUAUCUGAAGAGCUGUCCGGUCCGAGGCUUAUAUUAAGAUAAUGAAACCUAAGAAGGAGAGUGUUGACGUUUCCCAUCAGUAGACAGGCUGCUUGCCAGAGGACGUGAGAAACUGAGCAGACUUGGCCAGAAGCUCUUAUGAAAGAAGAGCGUUUUCUCAUGAUGGAUAUGCUGAGAAAGACCUCUUUGCCCCAGAAAGCAACCUAGAGGAAGCAGGGGGCAAGAUAAGCAGCUGGAGUUUCCAGGCUGUUUCCUGAGGCCAACCAAUUUCCAUCUUGCCUGGGCUUUCACCUCCUCUUCUAGCUGAGGAUUGCAAUGGACGAAGAUAAUAUUUCUCUUCUUUUCAUUGUUUAUACAGUGGUACCUUGGGUUAAGAACUUAAUUCGUUCUGGAGGUCCAUUCUUAACCUGAAACUGUUCUUAACCUGAAGCACUACUUUAGCUAAUGGGGCCUCCCGCUGCUGCCGCACCGCUGCUGCACGAUUUCUGUUCUCAUCCUGAAGCAAAGUUCUUAACCCGAGGUAAUAUUUCUGGGUUAGUGGAGUCUGUAACCUGAAGCAUCUGUAACCUGAAGCAUAUG